GCCUAACACAUGCAAGUCGAACGGCAGCACAGGAGAGCUUGCUCUCUGGGUGGCGAGUGGCGGACGGGUGAGGAAUACAUCGGAAUCUACCUUUUCGUGGGGGAUAACGUAGGGAAACUUACGCUAAUACCGCAUACGACCUACGGGUGAAAGUGGGGGACCGCAAGGCCUCACGCGAUUAGAUGAGCCGAUGUCCGAUUAGCUAGUUGGCGGGGUAAUGGCCCACCAAGGCGACGAUCGGUAGCUGGUCUGAGAGGAUGAUCAGCCACACUGGAACUGAGACACGGUCCAGACUCCUACGGGAGGCAGCAGUGGGGAAUAUUGGACAAUGGGCGCAAGCCUGAUCCAGCCAUACCGCGUGGGUGAAGAAGGCCUUCGGGUUGUAAAGCCCUUUUGUUGGGAAAGAAAUCCUAUCGGUUAAUAACCGGUGGGGAUGACGGUACCCAAAGAAUAAGCACCGGCUAACUUCGUGCCAGCAGCCGCGGUAAUACGAAGGGUGCAAGCGUUACUCGGAAUUACUGGGCGUAAAGCGUGCGUAGGUGGUGGUUUAAGUCUGCUGUGAAAGCCCUGGGCUCAACCUGGGAAUUGCAGUGGAUACUGGAUCACUAGAGUGUGGUAGAGGGAUGCGGAAUUUCUGGUGUAGCAGUGAAAUGCGUAGAGAUCAGAAGGAACAUCCGUGGCGAAGGCGGCAUCCU
rnacentral:rRNA from 1 species